AGUGAACGCUGGCGGUAGGCCUAACACAUGCAAGUCGAACGGCAGCACAGUAAUUGGUGGCUGUUGCGGGUGUCGCGUGGCGGACGGUGGAGUAAGGCAUCGGAUUCUUCUGGUUCGUGUGUGCUAACGUAGGGUAAGUUCUUCUAGUGCAGGAUACAUCGUACUUGUAAAAGCACGCGUUCGUCUAGCUUGUUGGUGUGGUAUCAGCUGAUCUCGGAGUAGCUAGUUGGCGGGGUAAAGUCGCAACACAGCGACGAUCCGUAGCUGGUAUGAGAGGAUGAUCAGCCACACUGGCACUGAGACACGGUCCAGACUCCUACGGGAGGCAGCAGUGGGGAAUCUUGGACAAUGGACGAAAGCCUGAUCCAGCGAUACCGCGUGAGUGAAGACGGACCUCGGGUUGGAAAGCCCUGUUGUUGGGAAAGAAAAGCAGCAGGUUAAUCCCGCGCUGUAAUGACGGUACCCAAAGAAUAAGCCCCGGCUAACUUCGUG
rnacentral:rRNA from 1 species